rnacentral:tRNA from 1 species
GGAGGGGUUCCCGAGUGGCCAAAGGGAGCAGACUGUAAANNUCCGCCUUCGAUGGUUCGAAUCCGUCCCCCUCCACCA